rnacentral:rRNA from 1 species
UACGUAGGGUGCGAGCGUUAAUCGGAAUUACUGGGCGUAAAGAGUGCGUAGGCGGUUCGUUAUGUCUGCUGUGAAAGCCCCGGGCUUAACCCGGGAAUGGCAGUGGAAACUGGCGGGCUUGAGUGUGGCAGAGGGGGUGGAAUUCCGCGUGUAGCAGUGAAAUGCGUAGAGAUGCGGAGGAACACCGAUGGCGAAGGCAGCCCCCUGGGCUAACACUGACGCUGAGGCACGAAAGCGUGGGGAGCAAACAGG